GGGCCUGUAGCUCAGUGGUAGAGCAAUUGCCUUUUAAGCAAUGUGUCGUGGGUUCGAUCCCCACCAGGCCCU
rnacentral:tRNA from 1 species